UGUGGAUGCAUCAAAUACACCUUGUUACUAAGCCACUAACCUUGCUGUACUGAACCUGUCAACUGGCUUUUCUGGAAACCCUGACUCUGGACUGGAUUUGUUACCUGGAACUCUUUGACACUGGAUUUUGCUUUUUUUUUCAGUAUGAAAUGGAUAACUGUGAGUGUGAAGCCCUUAGUUGCAAAACCUUGUGGAACAAGCUUCCCUAAAUCCUUCCUGUUCUUCUGCUACAACCCUUCUUCUGCCAAUCUAAAAGCUCCCCGCUAUACCUUUAGAAUCAAUUGAAUUUGAUGCAAGCUAAUAGCUCUUCAAAGAGAAGUAGUUUGUGAUUCACCUUCUGAUUCACCUCAUCAACUCCCCCUUCUUGCUGCUCAUAGCAGCAUGGAGUGCAAGCUUACAUGUGCUGAAGGACAAGUCUCUACAUUUCUUCUGCAUGGAGUUGUUUCCAAGGCCCAAAGUAUAGUGCUUUAGGGAAUCAUUCUAAUCAUUCUUAGCAGCCACAAGUAAUGAAAUCACACAGGCUCGAGUUGCAAUGAUUAAAAUCUACCUGAUCAACAUGGAAAGUUAUUUCAAAACUCUACCCAAGAGGUUGAAUUGCUUUUGCAAAGGCCACACACAUGUAGAAAAUUGGCCUGAUGUUAGUUAUAUUACAGCAAAACAAAACCUGGGAUCGAUUGCUUGCAUUUUAAACAAUUAGGGUUCUGAAAUGAGGAACCACCAACCAUUUUAAGCAGCGUGUGAUACGUAUUUUUUUUGCUCCACUGACAAAAAUCUCAUUUACUUCAGUUUGAAUUGUGCUUUAUCGACUCUUUGAAAAUCAGGCUGUUCAUAUCUAAGAUUAUCUUCAUGAUAUUCCCAGUAGUGGGGGAAAGUACACUAAAAUCGAAUGUAGAAAUUAGUGUAAUGCUGAGUGAAUAAUUAUAGUUUAGUGAUGUGAUAUGCAUAUAAAGAAGCCUCAGAACAGCAUUAAUAUUUAAAUGGUACUAAUGAAGGAGAAAAGCCUAAAAUUAGGAAUGCGUGACUCACUCUUUCUUGAGAGCUGUUCAUGGAUAUUAAAUUUUAAAUAUAUAUUUUUUUAUCUCUUGACAAA